rnacentral:rRNA from 1 species
AGCAGCCGCGGUAAUUCCAGCUCCAAUAGCGUAUAUUAAAGUUGUUGCAGUUAAAAAGCUCGUAGUUGAAUUUCGGGAUCAGUAGGUCGGUCGUGCCACUGGUAUGAACUGGUCUCACUGGUUCCUCCCUCUUGACGAACUGCAAUGCUAUUAAUUUAGUGUUGUAGGAAAUCAGGACUGUUACUUUGAAAAAAUUAGAGUGUUUAAAGCAGGCUUUAGCUUGAAUACAUUAGCAUGGAAUAAUGAAAUAGGACGUUCGAUCCUAUUUUGUUGGCUUCUAGGAUUGACGUAAUGAUUAAUAGGGACAGUUGGGGGCAUUAGUAUUCAAUUGUCAGAGGUGAAAUUCUUGGAUUUAUUGAAGACUAACUACUGCGAAAGCAUUUGCCAAGGAUGUUUUCAUUAAUCAAGAACGAAAGUUAGGGGAUCGAAGACGAUCAGAUACCGUCGUAGUCUUAACCAUAAACUAUGCCGACUAGGGAUCGGAUGAUGUUAAUUUUUAAUGACUCAUUC